CCAAUAGCGUAUAUUAAAGUUGUUGCAGUUAAAAAGCUCGUAGUUGAAUUUCGGGAUCAAUUUAUCAGUCGUGCCAAUGGUAUGAACUGGUACAAUUGGUUUCUCCCUUCUGAUGAAGCUCGAUGUCAUUAACUUGGUGUCAGGGGGAAUCAGGACUGUUACUUUGAAAAAAUUAGAAUGUUUAAAGCAGGCCUUGGCUUGAAUACAUUAGCAUGGAAUAAUGAAAUAGGACGUUUGAUCCUAUUUCGUUGGUUUCUAGGAUCGACGUAAUGAUUAAUAGGGAUAGUUGGGGGCAUUAGUAUUCAAUUGUCAGAGGUGAAAUUCUUGGAUUUAUUGAAGACUAACUACUGCGAAAGCAUUUGCCAAGGAUGUUUUCAUUAAUCAAGAACGAAAGGUAGGGGAUCGAAGACGAUCAGAUACCGUCGUAGUCUUAACCAUAAACUAUGCCGACUAGGGAUCGGAUGAUGUUAAUUUUUUAAUGACUCAUUUGGCGCCUUAUG
rnacentral:rRNA from 1 species